rnacentral:tRNA from 1 species
CCGCCCGUAGCUCAGUUGGUCAGAGCAUCGAGCUUAUACCUCGAGGACCCUUGGUUCAAGUCCAAGCGGGCGGA